AUCACCGCCGCGAUGGCGUCACCGCGGCAUAGGAUUCGACCUCGCAGCAGAACGCUCCGUGGCUCCCGCGGGUGAAAGUGGAGCGCCGCACUUAACGAAGCCACUCAAAGUGGGCGCUGUUAUCAGCAACCGAACCAUCCAUUCCCUCAAGGAGAGCGAUGGCGGGUGGAGGAAGAGCCCGUUCUGCUUCAUCCAUCUCACAGAGAGCUCCAAACAGGAGAAGAGCUGAGCACAACUUCUCCCCUCCGCUGCAGGGAAGCGGCAAUGGGGACACCGUGAUGCGUUCAGCUCAUCUGUCACGGCAAGGCCUCCAAGUUUUCCCUUUCCGGACACAGAGCAGGCUGCAAAACCCCACAGGGAAGGGAGAAAUACAUCCCAUCGAGGGUAAAAUCUCAAGAGAAGAGGACAGCAGUGAAAUCCCUGCAGCGGGGGGUGCUGUAACGAUGGCUGUCUGCAGUGCUGUCCGUGCGGAUGGAGCUCUGCAGGCAGGAAAGCUUCGCAGAGCGCUCAAACUGGGGGAAACUGAAUGCGGUUUGGGGAAAAUAAAGGCGGCUCUUCAC
rnacentral:lncRNA from 7 species